GACGAACGCUGGCGGCGUGCCUAAUACAUGCAAGUAGAACGCACAGUUUAUACCGUAGCUUGCUACACCAUAGACUGUGAGUUGCGAACGGGUGAGUAACGCGUAGGUAACCUGCCUGGUAGCGGGGGAUAACUAUUGGAAACGAUAGCUAAUACCGCAUAAUAUUAAUUAUUGCAUGAUAAUUAAUUGAAAGGUGCAAUUGCACCACUACCAGAUGGACCUGCGUUGUAUUAGCUAGUAGGGGAGGUAACGGCUCACCUAGGCGACGAUACAUAGCCGACCGGAGAGGGUGAUCGGCCAGCCUGGGACUGAGACACGGCCCAGACUCCUACGGGAGGCAGCAGUAGGGAAUCUUCGGCAAUGGACGAAAGUCUGACCGAGCAACGCCGCGUGAGUGAAGAAGGUUUUCGGAUCGUAAAGCUCUGUUGUAAGAGAAGAACGGGUGUGAGAGUGGAAAGUUCACACUGUGACGGUAUCUUACCAGAAAGGGACGGCUAACUACGUG
rnacentral:rRNA from 1 species